AUUGAACGCUGGCGGAAUGCUUUACACAUGCAAGUCGAACGGCAGCACGGGGGCAACCCUGGUGGCGAGUGGCGAACGGGUGAGUAACACAUCGGAACGCGUCCUGUAAUGGGGGAUAACCUAUCGAAAGGUAGGCUAAUACCGCAUACGAUCCUGAGGGACGAAAGCGGGGGAUCGUAAGACCUCGCGUUAUAGGAGUGGCCGAUGUCGGAUUAGCUAGUUGGUGGGGUAAAGGCCUACCAAGGCGACGAUCCGUAGCUGGUCUGAGAGGACGACCAGCCACACUGGGACUGAGACACGGCCCAGACUCCUACGGGAGGCAGCAGUGGGGAAUUUUGGACAAUGGGCGCAAGCCUGAUCCAGCCAUUCCGCGUGAGUGAAGAAGGCCUUCGGGUUGUAAAGCUCUUUCGGCCGGGACGAAACUCGUAUGAGGCUAAUACCCUGUAUGCGAUGACGGUACUGGAAGAAGAAGCACCGGCUAACUACGUGCCAGCAGCCGCGGUAAUACGUAGGGUGCGAGCGUUAAUCGGAAUUACUGGGCGUAAAGGGUGCGCAGGCGGUUUUGUAAGACAGCUAGUGAAAUCCCCGGCCUUAACCUGGGAACUGCGGUUGUGACUGCAAGACUUGAGUGCGGCAGAGGGGGGUGGAAUUCCACGUGUAGCAGUGAAAUGCGUAGAGAUGUGGAGGAACACCGAUGGCG
rnacentral:rRNA from 1 species